rnacentral:rRNA from 1 species
GACGUAGGGCGCGAGCGUUGUCCGGAUUUAUUGGGCGUAAAGAGCUCGUAGGCGGCUUGUCGCGUCGUCCGUGAAAACCCACAGCUCAACUGUGGGCUUGCGGUCGAUACGGGCAGACUAGAGUUCGGUAGGGGAGUCUGGAAUUCCUGGUGUAGCGGUGAAAUGCGCAGAUAUCAGGAGGAACACCGGUGGCGAAGGCGGCUCUCUGGGACGGUACUGACGCUGAGACGCGAAAGCGUGGGGAGCGAACAGG